GGAGUUGUGGCUCAGUGGUAGAGUGCUCGCCUAGCAUGUGUGAGGCCCUGGGUUUGAUCCUCAGCACCA
rnacentral:tRNA from 1 species